rnacentral:rRNA from 1 species
UACGUAGGGGGCAAGCGUUGUCCGGAAUCAUUGGGCGUAAAGAGCGUGUAGGCGGCCCGAUAAGUCCGCCGUGAAAGUCCAGGGCUCAACCCUGGAAUGCCGGUGGAAACUGUCGGGCUGGAGUCCGGAAGAGGCGAGUGGAAUUCCUGGUGUAGCGGUGGAAUGCGCAGAUAUCAGGAGGAACACCAAUAGCGAAGGCAGCUCGCUGGGACGGUACUGACGCUAAGGCACGAAAGCGUGGGGAGCGAACAGG